ACAACUGUUUGUAUAUUUUUUAUAUAAAUAAUUUUAUACAGUUUUCUAUAAACAUAUCGAAUAACAGAUAUAUACUUAUAAAAUUUAAAUUUUUAAAUUUAUCCAUCAAAAAUUUCUAACAAUUUGAGGUAUAUUUCUAUUGUUAACAUCCGUUAGAAAAAUAUAGUUAACUAUAGAUAAAAUAUUUAAUCUUGCUUAGUGAGUAAGAUAAAGUGAUUUUUUUAUCCAUAUAAUAUUAUACCUUCCUUUUCAAUGAAAACCCUAGCUUGAUCAAAAACCUAGAAAUAAAAACUCUUCUCCUCUUCCUCUUCCUCUUCUUCUCUCUUCUUCAUACUAGUUUCAAAUCCAUAAUUAGGGUUUCUCCAUCCUUAUUAAUCCAUACUUUGUCUAUGUCGAGCACCAGAAAAUUAGUUAAAUGAGAGAAGAGGUUGCAACAAUAAUGAAUCUAAUUAGUUUUUCUAGAGAAAAAAAAAUAACCAUUGGAAAGUUGAGACUUUCGGAGGGACGUAUUUGUAAAAUUAAUAUUUCACUAAUCUUUAAUUAAAAAAUAAGCAUUGAAUUAACGAUAAAAAUCAGAGAGGCGAAUACGAACAUCAUUGAACUUUUGAAAGAAUAAAUAAAAAAAUUUAAAUUUUAUAAAAAUAUAUCUUCUAUUCGAUAUGUUUACAAGAAACUGUUUCAUAAUAUAAAUUUACUAAUUAAUUAGCAUGCGUUAAAGGAAGAAGAAAAAAAAGAAGAUAUG
rnacentral:lncRNA from 1 species